GCUCUGCGCCCCCCCCUAGGGGCCGGGCCCCACACUUUGGGAACCUCUGGAUUAAGGUAACAUGGCUGACGUUACACCUUUUUAUUUUUCACAUGUUAUUUUGCUGUUUGCUUGUAAUCUCUGAAAAGGCUCCAUUGAAGUCUGAGAUACACAUCAUAUAUUUAAUCUAUCCAUCCAUUCUCUUCCACUUAUCCCUAUCAGGAUCUCGCUGGAUGCUGGAUCUAUAGAAGGUACAAAAUGGUAAGAGGCAGGGUACACCCUGAACAGGUCACGAGUCUGUCGCAGGGCUAACACAUAGAGACAGAAAACCAUGUACACUCACAGUCUCACCUAUGGACAAUUUACAAUCACCAGUUAACCUAACCCCACUAAACUCUUUGGACUGCGGGAGGAAGUCGGAGAACUGGGAGAGAAAACUACACAAACAUGGAGAGUGUCAUGGUCUUGCUACGCACCAGAUUACCAGACGUAAAUCUCCACCAUAGAACCCCCAUCCGGACGCUGGACCUCCUGACAGUCUCACGGUUUUACUCACUCCACACACCUGCCUGCCUCCCUGUCUCAACGUCAGGAAUUUCGGAUUACUUACCACUCACCUGCACCACUCUCCCCUCCACGCCACCGAUCCACCUGCAUCAGUGACUCUGACCCUUUCCCGGGACCCAGCCAUCCAGUCUGACUCUCCCUUUGGUCCAAACCACAGAACUGUAGUUUCCACAGUUGAAAAAUCACUGAUUGUUUACAUAACUCAGGUCGCAUAAGCGCCCCUUAGUUUUGGUGUUUGUUCCUAGCACAAGUUAAACACACGACUCCGUUUUCUAGUUUUGUUCGCUUACACUUGUUGUGAAAAAAUAAAUGUUGUCACUUGAACGUUCUCUGUGCUGCUCUGCGUCCUGCUUUUGAGUCCUUUUUCCUUCGAGUCGGCCUCGGCCGUGACAGAGAGAACAUACAAACUCCACACACAAAGGCCCUGGGCAGACAGUGGAGUCGCCCUCAGGACCUUCUCGCUGUGAGGCAACAGUGCUAACCACUAAUAGUAUUUAAAUGUAAUUUGUUUUUUUGUUUUGUUUUGUUAUUUUUGCAAAGAGACCCAUUAACAGUAAGCCGGGCUACAAUCAAAGAGAUGCUGUCUUCAGGAAACAAACAAACAAAUCUUUUAACAUUGUAAUGAAUACACAGGCUGCUUCAUUGUGAAAUCAAGAGCAUAAAAUUUGUUGCUCAUACAAAUGCGCAUGUUGUUGUUGUUUUUUUCAACCCUAUGCUGGCCAGCGUAUUUGUACUACUG